rnacentral:rRNA from 1 species
UACGGAGGGAGCUAGCGUUGUUCGGAAUUACUGGGCGUAAAGGGCGCGUAGGCGGCGCGGUAAGUCACUUGUGAAAUCUCUGAGCUUAACUCAGAACGGCCAAGUGAUACUGCAGUGCUAGAGUGUGGAAGGGGCAAUCGGAAUUCUUGGUGUAGCGGUGAAAUGCGUAGAUAUCAAGAGGAACACCUGAGGUGAAGACGGGUUGCUGGGCCAACACUGACGCUGAGGCGCGAAAGCCAGGGGAGCAAACGGG